rnacentral:rRNA from 1 species
GAUGAACGCUGGCGGCGUGCCUAAUACAUGCAAGUCGAGCGAACAGACGAGGAGCUUGCUCCUCUGACGUUACCGGCGGACGGGUGAGUAACACGUGGAUAACCUACCUAUAAGACUGGGAUAACUUCGGGAAACCGGAGCUAAUACCGGAUAAUAUAUUGAACCGCAUGGUUCAAUAGUGAAAGACGGUUUUGCUGUCCCUUAUAGAUGGAUCCGCGCCGCAUUAGCUAGUUGGUAAGGUAACGGCUUACCAAGGCAACGAUGCGUAGCCGAUCUGAGAGGGUGAUCGGUCACACUGGAACUGAGACACGGUCCAGACUCCUACGGGAGGCAGCAGUGGGGAAUCUUCCGCAAAGGGCGAAAGCCUGACGGAGCAACGCCGCGUGAGUGAUGAAGGUCUUCGGAUCGUAAAACUCUGUUAGUAGGGAAGAACAAAUGUGUAAGUAACUAUGCACGUCUUGACGGUACCUAAUCAGAAAGCCACGGCUAACUACGUG